rnacentral:rRNA from 1 species
CCUACGGGGGGCUGCAGUGGGGAAUAUUGGACAAUGGGGGCAACCCUGAUCCAGCCAUGCCGCGGGUGUGAAGAAGGCCCUCGGGUUGUAAAGCACUUUCAGUGAGGAAGAACGCCUGGUGGUUAAUACCCAUCAGGAAAGACAUCACUCACAGAAGAAGCACCGGCUAACUCCGUGCCAGCAGCCGCGGUAAUACGGAGGGUGCGAGCGUUAAUCGGAAUUACUGGGCGUAAAGCGCGCGUAGGUGGCUUGAUAAGCCGGUUGUGAAAGCCCCGGGCUCAACCGGGGAACGGCAUCCGGAACUGUCAAGCUAGAGUGCAGGAGAGGAAGGUAGAAUUCCCGGUGUAGCGGUGAAAUGCGUAGAGAUCGGGAGGAAUACCAGUGGCGAAGGCGGCCUUCUGGACUGACACUGACACUGAGGUGCGAAAGCGUGGGUAGCAAACAGGAUUAGAUACCCUAGUAGUC